rnacentral:rRNA from 1 species
CAUGCAAGUCGAGGGGCAGCAUGAUUUGUAGCAAUACAGAUUGAUGGCGACCGGCGCACGGGUGAGUAACGCGUAUGCAACUUACCUAUCAGAGGGGGAUAGCCCGGCGAAAGUCGGAUUAAUACCCCAUAAAACAGGGGUCCCGCAUGGGAAUAUUUGUUAAAGAUUCAUCGCUGAUAGAUAGGCAUGCGUUCCAUUAGGCAGUUGGCGGGGUAACGGCCCACCAAACCGACGAUGGAUAGGGGUUCUGAGAGGAAGGUCCCCCACAUUGGUACUGAGACACGGACCAAACUCCUACGGGAGGCAGCAGUGAGGAAUAUUGGUCAAUGGCCGAGAGGCUGAACCAGCCAAGUCGCGUGAAGGAAGAAGGAUCUAUGGUUUGUAAACUUCUUUUAUAGGGGAAUAAAGUGGAGGACGUGUCCUUUUUUGUAUGUACCCUAUGAAUAAGCAUCGGCUAACUCCGUGCCAGCAGCCGCGGUAAUACGGAGGAUGCGAGCGUUAUCCGGAUUUAUUGGGUUUAAAGGGUGCGUAGGUGGUGAUUUAAGUCAGCGGUGAAAGUUUGUGGCUCAACCAUAAAAUUGCCGUUGAAACUGGGUUACUUGAGUGUGUUUGAGGUAGGCGGAAUGCGUGGUGUAGCGGUGAAAUGCAUAGAUAUCACGCAGAACUCCGAUUGCGAAGGCAGCUUACUAAACCAUAACUGACACUGAAGCACGAAAGCGCGGGGAUCAAACAGGAUUAGAUACCCUGGUAGUCCACGCAGUAAACGAUGG